CUGCCCGGCAGCUCUGCGGGACCCCAGUCGGAGCCGGCCCGAGGAGGAGGAGGAUCCUAGGACCCAGAUAAUAAGCUGGAGGCUUGCCUGUGGCAGGAAGGUUGCAUGGAUGAUGCUGGGAUUCCACGUAAAGAAAAUGAACAGUGGAUGAAGGAAGACUGCAUUAGCAGUAGCUGUGAGGAUAACUGGCCUCUUAAGUGAAAAUGCAGUAGUUCAGGUAUGCUCUACUUUGAAUAUAAUGAGGAGUCAUCGGAAAAAGGCAGAAUGGCCAAAUAAUCUGUACUGUAGAGACAUGUCUCCUGGUAGAGUGUUUGACCCCCCACAUUGUUGGAAGGAAAAUGCUGUCCAGUCUGCAUAGACAAUGAAAACCCCAUGGAAUCACUAUUAGAACUUAAACAUGAUUCGUCUGAAAAGGAGCUGCCUUUUGGAUCUACUAAAGAAAUGUAGCUUCCACAUUCAAAAGUUACAAGCACUGCUGACUACAAUACAUGCACAAAUUGUUUGAUGUAAAAACACUGAUGGAACAAUCAAGUCGCUUUAAGCUUUGUACUGUGGUGGGCAUAUUCUAUACAAUUACCUUUCAACAUUGCUAGAUCUAAUGUAAAGAUGAGCAAGGCGAAGAAAGAGUAUACUGAAAGCUAUUUAUAGUUUAUUAUAUUUUGUAGUCUGACAUAGAAAAUUGUUAAAUGUUAGAUUCAUAAAUUCAAUUUUAGAUUUAUUAUCCUCUUUUUCAAGAGUCAGGGGAAAAAAGAUAUAAAAACAUGGCAUUUCUUUAAACCUUAUAAUUCAGCCACUGGCAAAGGCUUUCUUUUAAAAUUUAUACACAUUUUAAUACUGUAAUGAGAAAUGUUUUAAUAAUUACAUUGUUCUAAAGAAAAGGGUUACAGAAAAGACAUUUGCACUUGACCUGCAUGGUUCUGUUUUUAGUUGUUUUUGUUCUGAGUGGUAUUAUAUUAUGGGGAAACAAUUUGGUUUCCUUUUACAAGACUAUAUUCUGAUGCCAUGUUCGCUUUAUGGAGCUUGGGUUUUCGCAAAAUCAAAAUGAAAAAGAAGCAUAGCACAGUUCUUUGCAAUCUCAUCAUGUUUAGACUCUGAUUGGAAAUGCAAAGCACAUCUCAGGUAUCUUUCCAUGUAUGCACAUGUCUUCAAUAGGGGAUAAAGAAUAUAUGAGUGCAAUGUAAUUUGCCAGGAAGUUAUUUGUACUUCUUUUUCCAUUCUGCAUGUAUCUCUGACUGGCAUCAGUAGAACAGAUAGAGAGAAUGGACUCAUCUGUUCAAGUUCCCUGCAAGUAGAACGUUAUGCAAAUCCCUUACUGUAUGUUAUUGUGAUGUUGUGAUCAUUGACAUGAGAGAAUUGAGAAUUUUUUUCAAGAUGCAAUUAUUAAAAUAAGGGAACACAUUUUUAAAACCUGGGUCCUAAGCUGAACCUUCAAAAAUGCCUGUGCACAAAUGUUCAUUUUCAUGUGGAAUUAGCCGAUUUAGACAUGAAAGCAGAAGCUGGGCAUGCAUGUUUACUUGUACAUGUACAUUUUUUGCAGCCACGGCUUAGAAACUGAUUCUGUUUUGGAACUUAGUCUUGAAUUAAAAGUUCGAAAAGGAAGAUCGCUGACCUGCACAUACCCUUAAUUCAUAAAACCUGUGCAUCCCACCUACUUCAUUACAUCUUAUCUUGUUUGUCAUUGUCUGUUAACCAACAAUAGGUCAUCUAAUAAUGUUGUGCAUGGAGUUUCUCACACACCUGAAACUAUAUGCACAAAUGGUGGGUCAUUAGGACGGAUUCACAAAUGAUAGAUGCUUAGUUCUAAGGAACAUCUGAUUUUAUAGGAGCAACAGCAGCUCAGAAAGAGGGCAUUUUAAAAUCUGGACUCAUGUAGCGAUAGCAUGGUAAAGAAGAUACUGAAAUCUGAAUGGAAAGAAAAACAUCUCUCCUGUGAAGGAAAUUCUUUCUGACAAGUCAUAUUCAGAAAUAGCUAUUGAAAACAAUGUGAAAAUCUGUAUAAAAACUGAGUAGGACAGAGCCCUAUCAUUCUUCUUUGGGGUUACAUUUAACCUUAGAUGCACAAAUAAGCAUGUCAUCAUGUACAAUAUUCUGUAAUAUCAGUGAAUACUGUAGAGAUGAUUUAACAAGAUCAUACGUACCUUGAAAUCUGGGUCAAACCUUGGUAAUUUAUAUCCUUAUUCUACUUAUAAAGCCACAUAUAUGUUAAUUUUUUAUUCUACUCAGCUACACAGAGACUAUUUGACCAAUAUUCUUUAACGCACUUCACUGUCUUGAGUCAGUUACAACAUUGUUAUAGAAUGGCUGCAUCAAAGUUCACAGCCAAGUAACCUUCAGGAAUCUUAACGCCCUAGUUCUAUGAGUGCAGUAUAUUUCGAUCAGUGACUUACGAAGAUCAUUUUUAUGAAUAUUGAUGAUUUUGUAGGAUACAUUUUAAUUAAACUGAAAAUAGUAUCAUCUUCAUUUAUGAAAGACACUUUUUGUAAUCAUAAGAACAUUCACCUGAUGGAGAAUGAAAUUAACCCCUAUUCACCACUUAAGGUUGUGUCUAAGUGGAAUGUAAGUGCUACGUAUGCCUUGUAUUGGCUAGCUCCACAGAGCUGAAUUUCACUUAAAAAUAUUUCCUCAGAAUAAGAACAUAAGAACAUAAGAAUGGCCAUACUGGGUCAGACCAAAGGUCCAUCUAGCCCAGUAGCCUGUCUGCCGACAGUGGCCAGCACCAGGUGCCCCAAAGAGGGUGGACCAAAGAAAAUGAUGAAGCGAUUUUUCUCCUGCCAUCCUUCUCCAGCCUCUGACAAACGGAGGCCAAGGACAGCAUUUCUAUCUCCUGGCUAAUAGCCUUUUAUGGACCUAUCAGAGUAUAUCUGUUCUCCAUAUUGUGCCAUGGAAGUUCCGGGGGAAAUAAUAAUGGUGAGUUGUCAGUAGUUUGUCUUGCAUAUACAAUUAAUAGAAAUGGGGCAUACAUUUGAACAAAUACAUUAUUAUAUUAAAGGUUCUUCUUAAUCAAUAUCUUCUAUAACUAUUGGUUGAUAUCUAAUAAGGAGCAGGGACAAAAAUGACUGAAAUGAUAAUUUGGAUGAUAAA